UUCCGGUUGAUCCUGCCGGACCUGACUGCUAUCGGAUUGAUACUAAGCCAUGCGAGUUUUUGUAGCAAUACAAGGCAGACGGCUCAGUAACACGUAGUCAAUCUAACCUAUGGAUGAGGAUAACCUCGGGAAACUGAGAAUAAUACUCAAUAGAUCAUUAUACCUGGAACGGUUUAUGGUUCAAAUGAAUUUCGCCAUAGGGUGGGACUGCGGUCUAUCAGCUUGUUGGUGAGGUAAUGGCCCACCAAGGCUAUUACAGAUACGGGCUCUGAGAGGAGAAGCCCGGAGAUGGGUACUGAGACACGGACCCAGGCCCUAUGGGGCGCAGCAGGCGAGAAAACUUUGCAAUGUGCGAAAGCACGACAAGGUUAAUCCGAGUGAUUCCUGCUAAAGGAAUCUUUUGUUAGUCAUAAUACCACUAUUGAAUAAGGGGUGGGCAAGUUCUGGUGUCAGCCGCCGCGGUAAAACCAGCACCUCAAGUGGUCAGGAUGAUUAUUGGGCCUAAAGCAUCCGUAGCCUGCUCUGUAAGUUUUCGGUUAAAUCUAUGUGCUCAACAUAUAGGCUGCCGGAAAUACUGCAGAACUAGGAAGUGGGAGAGGUAGACGGUACUCCGUAGGAAGGGGUAAAAUCCUUUGAUCUAUGGAUGACCACCUGUGGCGAAGGCGGUCUACCAGAACACGUUCGACGGUGAGGGAUGAAAGCUGGGGGAGCAAACCGGAUUAGAUACCCGGGUAGUCCCAGCUGUAAACUAUGCAAACUCGGUGAUGCAUUGGCUUGUGGCCAGUGCAGUGCCGCAGGGAAGCCGUUAAGUUUGCCGCCUGGGAAGUACGUACGCAAGUAUGAAACUUAAAGGAAUUGGCGGGGGAGCACCACAAGGGGUGAAGCCUGCGGUUCAAUUGGAGUCAACGCCGGGA
rnacentral:rRNA from 1 species